rnacentral:lncRNA from 1 species
UUGGUAUGUUUUUCAUUUUUAUUUUUAAAUAUGUAAUGAUACGUUUUAUUGAUUUUUAUUUUUAAUUGUAAUUAUUUUAAUACUUUAAAAGAAAAUAAAAAAGUUGCCCUGCUAAUGAAAUCCCCCUUUUAAAAAUAUUUUAUUUGUUUACGUUAAAGUUUAGCUUAUGUUGAGAAACAGAAAUGUUAAAUGGUUAAGUUUUAGUGAGUCCUCCCCCUGUUCCUCUUUGCUCACUUGUGUGCAUUAGUAAAAGUGAAGAGUGAAAGUGAAAAGAAAUGGCGGGAACGCGGGCGUGGGGGGUGGGCUCAUGGGGGCAGGGGCCGCACUGGGGUCCGAGGCGACAGAAAAGAAGAGCGACAGCGCGUAAAGAAAGGACGCGAGGUGGCCUCUUCUGCGAUGACAUCAUCCCUCAUUUGCAUAAAUCUCCGCCUGAAUUGAAAGCUCAUUGGUCACAGGCGAGAGAGACCGAAGCUGCUCUCGCUUUUCAUCCUUUUCAAUGCCCCUCCCGCGACCGCAUAGUGUGCGCGUGCGUGCGUGCGCGGACCGUCGAGCGCCGUUCCAUUCUCUGCUGCCAGGAGACGCGCAUCGCUUUUAUCGCCGGUAGACAGUCAGUCAGCUCCAAACGGCCUUUGUCAGAGCUACUGAUUUUUAUCUCAACAUUUGUUGCCGGUUGUUCUCGACUCGCAGUGCUGUCCUCCGAUUCCACUUGGAAAAAGAAAGAAAGAAAUAAAAAAUCGUGGAAGACGCGAGUACCGACUGGGCGUUGCUGGAGGAAAAGCGCUAGACUCGGUUUAAGACGGAUGCCUCACCCCCCUGCGGCCAGCAUCUCACCGCUCCAGUGAGGCUCCAUCAGAUCUAGUUCUUCUGCUCUUGUCUGGUGGCAUGGCAUGCUGGCUGGGGCCCGUAUCUGGCCCGUGUCCUGUGUGCAUCCCAUUCUGUGGGUGUCCAUCGGAGGAUCGCCCAGGAUUAGCAUCAUGCUUUGUCCAGAGUUAACAAGCUCUGUCAUGUGUUAAUC